rnacentral:rRNA from 1 species
GAUGAACGCUGGCGGCGUGCCUAAUACAUGCAAGUCGAGCGAACAGACGAGGAGCUUGCUCCUCUGACGUUAGCGGCGGACGGGUGAGUAACACGUGGAUAACCUACCUAUAAGACUGGGAUAACUUCGGGAAACCGGAGCUAAUACCGGAUAAUAUAUUGAACCGCAUGGUUCAAUAGUGAAAGACGGUCUUGCUGUCACUUAUAGAUGGAUCCGCGCCGCAUUAGCUAGUUGGUAAGGUAACGGCUUACCAAGGCAACGAUGCGUAGCCGACCUGAGAGGGUGAUCGGCCACACUAGAACUGAGACACGGUCCAGACUCCUACGGGAGGCAGCAGUAGGGAAUCUUCCGCAAUGGGCGAAAGCUUGACGGAGCAACGCCGCGUGAGUGAUGAAGGUCUUCGGAUCGUAAAACUCUGUUAUUAGGGAAGAACAAAUGUGUAAGUAACUAUGCACGUCUUGACGGUACCUAAUCAGAAAGCCACGGCUAACUACGUG